UUUCCUGUGGCUCAGUUAGUAGAGCAUUAUGCUAACAACGCAAAAGUCAUGGGUUUGAAUCAGGGAAAG